rnacentral:rRNA from 1 species
CUAGACGAACUGCCGUUGGACAAAAACGGAGGAAAGGUGGGGAUGACGUCAAAUCAUCAUGCCCCUUAUGUUCUGGGCUACACACGUGCUACAAUGGCCGGUACAGACGACGCAAAGCCGCGAGGUGGAGCAAAUCCUAAAAAGCCGGUCUCAGUUCGGAUUGCAGGCUGCAAUUCGCCUGCAUGAAGUCGGAAUCGCUAGUAAUCGCAGGUCAGCAUACUGCGGUGAAUACGUUCCCGGGCCUU